AUUGAACGCUGGCGGCAGGCCUAACACAUGCAAGUCGAACGAUUGGCGGACGGGUGAGUAAUGUCUGGGAAACUGCCUGAUGGAGGGGGAUAACUACUGGAAACGGUAGCUAAUACCGCAUACCAUCAGAUGUGCCCAGAUGGGAUUGGCUUGUUGUGGGGGUAACGGCUCACCAGGGCGACGAUCCCUAGCUGGGCCGGGAGGAUGACCAGCCACACGGGAACUGAGAAACGGUCCAGACUCCUACGGGAGGAGUAAGUGGGGAAUAUUGGACAAUGGGCGCAAGCCGGAUGCAGCCAUGCCGCGUGUAUGAAGAAGGCCUUCGGGUGGUAAAGUACUUUCAGCGGGGAGGCGUUACCCGCAGAGGAAGCACCGGCUAACUCCGUGCCAGCAGCCGCGGUAAUAC
rnacentral:rRNA from 1 species